GACGAACGCUGGCGGCGUGCCUAAUACAUGCAAGUCGGACGCAGUUGUGAACGGGUGAGUAACGCGUAGGUAACUGCCUAUUAGAGGGGGAUAACCAUUGGAAACGAUAGCUAAUACAGCAUACUAGUAGAUGGACCUGCUUUGUAUUAGCUAGUAGGUAGGGUAAUGGCCUACUUAGGCAACGAUACAUAGCUCACCUGAGAGGUGGAUCGGCCACCCGUGUACUGGGGGGCAGCCCUGACUCCUUCGGGUGGCAGCAGUAGGGAAUUUUCGGGAAUUGGGUGAACCCUUGCCGGACAACGGCGCGUGAGUUGAGUAGGUUUUCGGAUCGGUAAGCUCUGUUUUUAAGGAAGCGGUACUUAACCAGAAAGGGACGGCUAACUACGUGCCAGCAGCCGCGGUAAUUC
rnacentral:rRNA from 1 species